rnacentral:lncRNA from 1 species
GGAUGCGAUCUUGAACUCUCUACCCAAAUGCUACCUACCAUUUCUCAGUCAUUUUUGAAUGACGAAGCCUGUAGUUAACUAUAAUGGUCUAUUGAAGUUGCUACAGACUAUUGAAAAGGAUCACUAGCUCUACAAGGAGACGGUGAAUGUAGUAGGAGUAUCUUCUUCAGGUGGACAUUGUUCGUCUAAGAAAGAGAAGAAAAAGAAGAAUAAAAAGGUGCAAUUUGCUGAGAG